GGGUAGUCACUCUUCGAAGUUUCUUCCUCAGCUUGGGGCCAGCCCAGACUGCAUGUGGUUUCCUCUCACUGUGUGUGCCUGCAUGUGUGUGUGUGUGUACAAAUGUGCAUGUGUGUUAGUUAUUUGCCUUUUACUGGCUCCGGGGUUUCUGUCCACCAGAGGAGCCCAGGGCUCUCUCUCAGACCUGCCCAACCUGCCGAGACGUUCUGGGACCCAGCUGGAUGCCCGUGGACACCCCACCGGCUGCCCCAGAAUGCGCUGAAAGUCAUUGAGAGGCACUGCUCCAACAGGACAAUUAUUUCUCGAGAAAGGGGAGAUUUGGCAUCCAGAUGCAGUUCUCCAAACCCAUCGCUGGCAACCCUCCACAUCUUGCUGGGCCUCAGUUUCCCACUUCUUUUUGGAGACCACCAGGGUCUACGUCAUCCUACCUCACGGGUUGGUACAAGGGUUGAGGGGCUGGGAGAGAUGUGAGAUGCCCAUUCAACCCGUUCCAGUUGGUCCUUACAUGAGCACCCACAGUGACCGGGUUUGGGCUCUGUGCAAGUGUCAUGCCAGGCUCUGAGACCCUCAGGUGGCAAGACCUCCCCUCCACCCCUGCCAGCUCACAGGCUGUUCUUGAUUCUACAAGUGGACUUCAGGGAUUUCAACUGCACUCAGGACUUUUUCACACCCCAGUUAGAAAGAAAACACAACAAUAACCAAAAGCAGGAAAGAAAAAAAAUCAACCAGAAGUUCCUUGGCUCCUGAGACGGUGGCCGGUUCUGGAUCACUCCAAGAAGGCGCCUUCCAAAUUGUCUCCUUGAGGAUUCAGCCUCGAACGCUGGGAGUGUGUCUGGAGGGUCUCCAAAUGCCUUUCUCACCCUCUGCAAAGUUUCGUUCCUUUUGCUUAUGUGGAGCUGGAUGUGUCAGAUCCCAAGCUGGCUUAAUUAGCUUUUCCAACCUGCUUCCCUAAUGAUGAAGGGUGAAUUCCAUAGUAUUCAGUGGUCCCUUUUUAACAGAUUCAACAAACACGCCAAAGAGGCGACCUGUUCGGCACAGCUGGACUGGGAGGGCAAAGUCACUCCUCCUCUCAGGACUUGAGUUUGCCUCUCUGGAAAAUGAGAGGGCUGGACCAUCAGCUUCCCAAACCUGAACACUCAUUGAAGGAUGAAGGGUGCUGGUUAAAGACGCCGAUUCCACAAAGAUACAUAUACAUUCUUUUUCUCAUAUGUAUGAUGGGGUCUCUUCGCUGUACAACAGAAACUGACGGAACACUGUAAAUCAACUAUACUUUA